AUUCUAGAUAGCCAUGCAUUUUAACUGUGACUGCACAUUUAUAAAGAGCACAUAUUUUGGUAUUUUUGUUUAAUUUCAACUUUUCCUAUAGGUUCAGAGGCCACAUGUCUAGGUUUGUUACAUGGGUAUAUUAUGUAUUGCUAAGGUUUGGGAUAACUGCUACUACUACUCAGAUAGAUAGCACAGUACCCCAUAGGUAGCUUUUCAGGCCUUGUCUCUUUCUUCCUUUCCUCCUCUAGUGGUCCCCAGUGUCUAUUGUUUUCAUUUUUAUAUCCUUGUAUACUCAAUAUUUAGCUCUCACUUGUAAGUAAGAACAUGCAGUAUUUGCCUUUCUGGUUUUUUUCCAUUAAUUUACUUAAGAUAAGGGCUUUCAGCUGCAUCAGUGUUGCUACAAAGAACACAAUUUUUUUUGGCUGUGUAGUAUUUCAAUGUGUAUAUAGGUACCACAUAUUCUUUAUCCAAUCCACCUCUGAUGGGCAACUAGAGUGAUUUCAUGUCAUUGCUGUUGAAGACAAU
rnacentral:lncRNA from 1 species